rnacentral:rRNA from 1 species
AUUUCAAUGACUUAAUAUUGAAUGAAACCUGCUCAAUGAAUUAAAUAGCCGCAGAAAAUUUACUGUGCUAAGGUAGCAUAAUCACUUGUCUUUUAAUUAAAGACUAGAAUGAACGGUUAAAUAAUUAAAUAAUUUUUUUCCCUAUUAAAAUUUAAUUUAUAAUAAGAACAAAAAUAUUCUUAUUAAUUAAAAAGACGAAAAGACCCUAUUGAACUUUACUAAAGUUAAGCUGGGGAAGCUCCUUAACAAUAAUUUUAAAUAAAAUUUUAAAGUAAAUAACCCUAUAAAGGAAUUUUAAUCAAGUUACCAUAGGGAUAACAGCGUAAUAUUUUUUUAAAGCUCUUAUUAUAAAAAAAGUUUACGACCUCGAUGUUGAAUAAUUUUUCUUUUGGUGCAAGAACUAAAUUAGAUAAGUCUGUUCGACUUUUAAAAAAUUACA